GAGAUAUUAGUAAAGUCUUACGUAACUUUGUCAAAGUUAAAUCACAAGUGAAAAUCUUGUAUAUCUCC
rnacentral:tRNA from 1 species